UACUUUCCCUCUUUUGUCGCGAAACUUAACCAGUUAAGUCUACUGAGUUUACCUCUCAGAUCUAAGAGUUCUAUCGAAUCCCAGUGAGUUCUGUCAAAAACAAAAUCGAUUCCAAACCUAGCCAAAACCACUGACCUUGUCGUUGGCCAUAAAAUCGUGCUCCUCCGCAGACACAUUCUUCAGCGCCGCCGCCAGUGAGCUCAAAUCGAUUAAUCCUUUAUUCACUCUCACAUAUGGAUUCUCCUCAUCGUCUUCUCAGUCGUGCAUCUCUCCUCCUUCGUUGACACUUGCAACUCCAGCUCUUCAUUUCACCUUCACAUCUUCUUCUUCUUUAUAUCUCUCAUCUCACUUUCCUUCCUCUCAAUCUUCUACUUCGUCUUUUCCUUUUCUCGCUUCCUUUGUGUCUUUCUAUCUCUCUCUCUCUCUCUCUCUCUAGCUUCCUCCGUCACUUUUACUUAUCAUUACCCUAAUUUUGCAAGGCGUAUCAAUUGAAAUUGAAAAGUUUUGGAAUUGGUUGGAAACGCAGCGAGGGAUAACGAGAAGACUAGGUUGGUGCCACGUCACAUUAAUCUUGCGGUGUGGAACGAUGAUGAGCCGAGCAAGUUGCAAAGAGUUCUUUGUGCACACAAGGUGUUCGACGAUUUGACUGUGAGACGGAAACCAAGAAUAUUAAAGUAACUGACAAUGUCAACGAGAAUGUUAAAGUAACUAACUUGGAUUUGGUUCAAUAUUCGCUAAGGAAGAAUGUUGGUGGCUGAGAGAUG